GGGCUCUGGCUGCUUUACUGCAACAAAACCUUCAACUCUUCCACUGGUCACACUUCAACAACGUGCAGUUGUGACUUUGUCUCCCCUCAGGGACCCACAGGCCUCUUAAGUUUCAGUUACCUGCGGCCAACCACAGUCCGGAAGCAGAGGAUUCCUCUUCUGGCACAUCACCAGAAGGUUGGAGAGGUGUGGCUCUAAUAACGACUGGCACUCACUCCAGAUCUACAGAGGAAAAUUAGCCCUCCUGAAUACAGGAAUGGGCAUCAUUAUUCGCAAACCUUCCACAAGGAUUUAAUGGUCUUGAAAUACCAGCGCCUCCCUGCAAGUCAGCGUGAGAAGAAAACAGGCAGAUCACUUUCAAAGCUUUUGGCAGCUUUCCCCUCAAGGAGAUGGCGCGUCACCUUGGAGAGUGAAUUAUCAUGCAUGACUUUGACAACAGAGAUCAAUUUUCUUGUUCAUUUUCUGUUCCCUAGAAACAUUCUUCACUCUCUGAUAAAUCCCUUAAAACAA